CCUGGGUACGAGCCUGAGCUGUUGAUGAGUAAACUCAUCAAUCAAUAUGACUCUCUAAGGUAUUACGCAAGUCAAAAAAGGAAACCGAAGCUGUCGUGCACUUGUGGGAGGGUGGUCUCAUCCCUGAGAUGGUUUACAAAGGGACAUACACUGUAAGAUUUGAGUGCGUGUGUAAUUCACUACGGUACUUGCGGAGAGCGCGAUUAAACUCAAGCGGCAAGUUCACCAUCUAAUGGCAAAAACAUGUGUGCAUAUCACCGCCAACGGAAGAACAAGGAAAUGACGUGUGACAGAUGACGAAGCACUUUUAAUCCGAUACAAUUGCCUGAGAAGUGUGGGGAAAUUCGCGACCUUUUGCUGAGCAUCUCCGUAAAACUGGCGAAACUUAUGCGAUCGUUUAUCUUUCUGCGUUGCUCCGACUGAGAUGUUUCGUUGGCUGCGGGAAAAAUCUUGAAUUGCGUCCAAGCUGAGCAUUUUGCGGUCAUUAUCGCAGCCGGAUUGCGGAUAACCGCAGUCAAAGUUUGAACUUAGAACACGAAAAUAAAUUCCAAGGAUGAGUAUUGAAGCAAAAAUCAUAGCUGUGUUUUUUUGUCGUUUAUCUUUGUCUUGUUUGUAAUCGUUCACGCCAUUGUCGUGGGGAAGAGCCAGGAAACUCAUUUGUCAAAUAACGGAAACACAACAUCCUUUUCAAAGCCUGAAAAGAGAUGCUCCUUUAUUUUUUGUGAUACCGCGUUGUUACUGUUGACUGUAAAAUCAUUUUAAAACCGUCAUUCAACAUGGGCCCCCACGGACAAAAAUUUUCUUGGAAAUUGCGAUUGAAUCAAAAUAUUACUUGAGAUGUUUUUGUUUUUGAUAUAAAUUUAAAAACAAAUCUAAUAAAAACUCUGAGUACGUACGAGGUCGUCGUGUGUGAGAUAAACUCGCGCUUAUACAAAUAUUUUCGCGACAGGGCUAUCACUGUGCAUUACUCGAGACAACAUUCAGACGGUUUGGUCAGUGUCUGGGCUGAUCGUCAAGACCCUAUUUGACGCCAUAAAGAACGUGCUGAUCUCAAAACAACUCUACUCAACUGUGUCACAACUCUGGACCUCGUAAAGGACGCGAGCUGUUUGAAACAGUCGGCCCCACGUGCGUCUGAAAUAUGAGUCUAGUGAGCACUGCUUCCGGUAUAACGAGGGAUAUGCCACAAGGGCACCAACAGCAAUCCUCGAACAUGUCAAGAGCUCUGCUUUGGGGUCAAUGACAUAGUUCCCA